rnacentral:rRNA from 1 species
AUUGAACGCUGGCGGCAUGCCUUACACAUGCAAGUCGAACGGCAGCACGGGUGCUUGCACCUGGUGGCGAGUGGCGAACGGGUGAGUAAUACAUCGGAACGUACCUUAUCGUGGGGGAUAGCGCAGCGAAAGCUGUGCUAAUACCGCAUACGCCCUGAGGGGGAAAGCGGGGGAUCGCAAGACCUCGCGCGAUUAGAGCGGCCGAUGCCUGAUUAGCUUGUUGGUGGGGUAAAAGCCCACCAAGGCGACGAUUAGUAGCUGGUCUGAGAGGACGAUCAGCCACACUGGGACUGAGACACGGCCCAGACUCCUACGGGAGGCAGCAGUGGGGAAUUUUGGACAAUGGGGGCAACCCUAAUCCAGCAAUGCCGCGUGAGUGAAGAAGGCCUUCGGGUUGUAAAGCUCUUUUGUCAGGGAAGAAACACCGGCUCUAACACAGUCUGGGAAUGACGGUACCUGAAGAAUAAGCACCGGCUAACCCUGUGCCAGCAGCCGCCGCCG